rnacentral:lncRNA from 1 species
AAAAAUGAGUGAAAAUGAUGUUUGAUUCAAGUCAUAACCAAAAAGUAUGAUUUUAGUCAAAUGGAAAAGUGAUUUGAAUCAAGAUCUAAAACAUAUGAGAAACUCAUUUGUGUGAUUCAAGUCACAAUAUGUGUGAUUCGAGUCACAUGAUUCGAGUCAUGAAACAUGUGAUCCAAAUCAAAUGAAAUAGUGGUAAACCAAAGAAAUGUUG